rfam:Plasmopara halstedii genome assembly, contig: Scaffold_484
GCACGGGUGGCUCAGUGGUAGAGCGUUCGAUUUCAGCCCGAAUGGUCACUAGUUCAAUCCCUGUCUCGCGCU